UACCUGGUUGAUCCUGCCAGUAGUCAUAUGCUUGUCUCAAAGAUUAAGCCAUGCAAGUCUAAGUACGAGCUCUCGUACAGUGAAACUGCGAAUGGCUCAUUAAAUCAGUUAUGGUUCAUUUGAUCGUACAGUUUACUUGGAUAACUGUGGUAAUUCUAGAGCUAAUACAUGCGAGAAGCGCCGACCUCGCGGGAGGCGUGCAUUUAUCAGACCAAAAACCGGCCGCGUCUUCGGGCGCGUUCGCCUUGGUGACUCUGGAUAACUUUGCGGAUCGCACGGUCUAGCACCGGCGACGGAUCAUUCAAGUGUCUGCCCUAUCAACUUUCGUCGGUACGGUAUUUGCCUACCGAGGUUCUUACGGGUGACGGGGAAUCAGGGUUCGAUUCCGGAGAGGGAGCCUGAGAAACGGCUACCACAUCCAAGGAAGGCAGCAGGCGCGCAAAUUACCCAUUCCCGACGCGGGGAGGUAGUGACGAAAAAUAACAAUGCAGGACUCGUUCGAGGCCCUGUAAUUGGAAUGAGUACACUUUAAAAGCUUUAACGAGUAUCCAUUGGAGGGCAAGUCUGGUGCCAGCAGCCGCGGAUUCAGCUCCAAAGUAUAUAUUUAAGUUGUUGCGGUUAAAAAGCUCGUAGUUGGAUUUUGGGCGCAGGCGGCCGGUCCCGUCGCAAGGCGUGUACUGGACGUCCUGGCCCUUCCCUCCGGUUCUCCGCCGGUGCUCUUGACUGAGUGUCGGCGGCGGCCGGAACGUUUACUUUGAAAAAAUUAGAGUGUUCAAAGCAGGCUCUCGAGCCUGGAUAAUGGUGCAUGGAAUAAUGGAAUAGGACCUCGGUUCUAUUUUGUUGGUUUUCGGAGCGCGAGGUAAUGAUUAAGAGGGACAGACGGGUAAGUCGUCGUGGUGGGUGAUAAACCAUGACGCGAAGCCGGGGAAGUCCCCCCGGCGCAGGGCCACCAGUAUGGAGACGACGAACGGAAAGUACAACCGGUCAAGA
rnacentral:ncRNA from 1 species